rnacentral:rRNA from 1 species
CAGAUUGAACGCUGGCGGCAGGCCUAACACAUGCAAGUCGAGCGGAAACGAGUUAUCUGAACCUUCGGGGAACGAUAACGGCGUCGAGCGGCGGACGGGUGAGUAAUGCCUGGGAAAUUGCCCUGAUGUGGGGGAUAACCAUUGGAAACGAUGGCUAAUACCGCAUAAUAGCUUCGGCUCAAAGAGGGGGACCUUCGGGCCUCUCGCGUCAGGAUAUGCCCAGGUGGGAUUAGCUAGUUGGUGAGGUAAUGGCUCACCAAGGCGACGAUCCCUAGCUGGUCUGAGAGGAUGAUCAGCCACACUGGAACUGAGACACGGUCCAGACUCCUACGGGAGGCAGCAGUGGGGAAUAUUGCACAAUGGGCGCAAGCCUGAUGCAGCCAUGCCGCGUGUAUGAAGAAGGCCUUCGGGUUGUAAAGUACUUUCAGCAGUGAGGAAGGUGGAUGUGUUAAUAGCGCAUUCAUUUGACGUUAGCUGCAGAAGAAGCACCGGCUAACUCCGUGCCAGCAGCCGCGGUAAUACGGAGGGUGCGAGCGUUAAUCGGAAUUACUGGGCGUAAAGCGCAUGCAGGUGGUUUGUUAAGUCAGAUGUGAAAGCCCGGGGCUCAACCUCGGAAUAGCAUUUGAAACUGGCAGACUAGAGUACUGUAGAGGGGGGUAGAAUUUCAGGUGUAGCGGUGAAAUGCGUAGAGAUCUGAAGGAAUACCGGUGGCGAAGGCGGCCCCCUGGACAGAUACUGACACUCAGAUGCGAAAGCGUGGGGAGCAAACAGGAUUAGAUACCCUGGUAGUCCACGCCGUAAACGAUGUCUACUUGGAGGUUGUGGCCUUGAGCCGUGGCUUUCGGAGCUAACGCGUUAAGUAGACCGCCUGGGGAGUACGGUCGCAAGAUUAAAACUCAAAUGAAUUGACGGGGGCCCGCACAAGCGGUGGAGCAUGUGGUUUAAUUCGAUGCAACGCGAAGAACCUUACCUACUCUUGACAUCCAUAGAAUUUUCCAGAGAUGGAUUAGUGCCUUCGGGAACUCUGAGACAGGUGCUGCAUGGCUGUCGUCAGCUCGUGUUGUGAAAUGUUGGGUUAAGUCCCGCAACGAGCGCAACCCUUAUCCUUGUUUGCCAGCGAGUAAUGUCGGGAACUCCAGGGAGACUGCCGGUGAUAAACCGGAGGAAAGUGGGGACGACGUCAAGUCAUCAUGGCCCUUACGAGUAGGGCUACACACGUGCUA